CUCUAUUUGUAAUUAUAUUGUUGAGAAACUUGUGAUGAUUUCUUCCCCAAUAACUGUAAUAUCAAAGGACCUUUUGUCUUCAGGAAAACAAAAUAUUAGAAACAAAAAGGUUUUAAUGAAAUUUGGUGGAACACCUUUCCAAAAUAAACAGUAAAUGGUUUAUUUGAGGGGAAUUUAUAGUUAUAUUGGACGUGGAUAAUGAAAUGUAGUGUUUUCACAUACUUUGCUGUUGUUUUAUGUCUUAAAAUAGUGUCUCAUUUUAUCACUUUUCUCUCUCAAGCUUCAUUAAUGAUCUGACAGAACAAUUUGGGAUUGUUUUUUGGGUAGUCAUUUGCAUAACAAUUAACCUGUACUGGAGACGGGUACAAAAGGCAGGUGUACAUUUUAUAAUAUUUUAGUGAAGUAUUUUAUUGUAUUCUCUAGUUAAUAUUUAAGCAUUUUUGAAUAGAGAUGUAUUGUUAUUGAUAUUUUGUUUUGAAAUAAAGUGCUAAAUAGCUUAAAAA
rnacentral:lncRNA from 1 species